GAGAUCGGGAUAACACCUGGAAACAGAUGCUAAUACCGGAUAACAACAGAUGAUGCCUAUCAACUGUUUAAAAGAUGGUUCUGCUAUCACUCUUGGAUGGACCUGCGGUGCAUUAGCUAGUUGGUAGGGGUAACGGCCUACCAAGGCGAUGAUGCAUAGCCGAGUUGAGAGACUGAUCGGCCACAUUGGGACUGAGACACGGCCCAAACUCCUACAGGAGGCAGCAGGG
rnacentral:rRNA from 1 species